CAGCCCUGUGUGCUCAUUCUUUCACUGGCCACUGUUACCAAGCAGAGUGGCUCCUGUCUUCCCAAGUGAUCCAUUUGCUUCAGAAACUGUUUUUGUUCGCCUUUUGAGAUCUGUCACCGUUGCUUCACGGAAGGUCAUCAUCUUCAGUUGAAAUGCCAUACUCAAAGAAGACUUUCCACAAGAUCAUGAAGAAACAUCUAAAAAAGAAUGGCAGCACUCAGACCGUGUGUUUCAAGGUCCACGCUAGCACAGAUUAAUGAACCCUAGAAUUACAUAAUAAAAGAGAGAGAUCCUCAGAGAUACCCUGAUUUUCGUCUUUUAUUUGAUGAGAAAGGAGUUGAAAGCCCAGGUAGUUAAGUGCACUUUCUGACGUCACUCAGCCUGUCUGUAAAAAGGUGUUCCAAAUUAUUGCCUGGUCUCUGUCCUCUCAACAUACAGCUUUUCAAAAGCCAUAUUCUAUGAUUCUCAACAGAUUAGAAAUCUGUUGAGACUUGCCAAAUCUGUAUGACUUGCCAAAAAUAGGAACAGGUGAAAAUAUUCUAAAAAUGCUCUCAUUAAUAAAGUUAAUUAACUAUAAUGCUCUGGACCUUCAGAGUUUUAAAGCUAGAAAACUGCUUUUUAAAAAAAUUUCUGAGCAGUUUCUGCCUUCUGGUUCAUAGAUUGGCAUUUUACUUUAAGGAGGAGAGUCUUUUUGUUCUGCAAAGUCUGGAUUGGUCCCUUUUGGCUGUGACAAUUUAAGGAUGUUAAAUUUGUUAGGAGCCUGAUGCUUAUAAACUAUCAGGGCAUAGGGUAAGUGGACCUCCAGCCCAGUGUUCUUAUUUCCUUUCACAUACUUGGGAGCAAUGAGCUCUUGUAGGGUCAGAGUGAUGGUGACAGUGAUGUCAUCCACUUGUGGUUAAAAGUUGUCGGGACAUGUCUGAGGGCCCUAGAGGAAAGACGCCCUAAGGGAAAGUGGAGUCUGAAUUUGGACUUCCAUCUCAGGCAAGUAGAAACUGGAUCUUUGCACUUCUGUCUUGCUGGUGCCGGACCCCAGGUUUUUCAGCCACCUCUUUGUGGUGUUUGGACAUGUCCCAGAGAAAAUGCUGUAUGCAAGUGUGCUGAAGUCGCCUGUGAGCACCAAACAUGGUGGAACUGAUUCCUGUCGCUUUGCUGUGGGGUGCUCUUGACCGAACAUGAACUUGAAAGGAACAUGAUCUACUGAGUGAACGGUCAGCAUCUGCAGCAGUGGUCAAAGAACAGGGAGGUCUUGUCAGCAAGACCCAUUAGCUGGCCAGACCCUGUCUAAGGAAAACACAGGACAUCAUGGCUCUCCUGGCACCAGAGCCCACAGUCAGCGUCCUGAGAGUGCUAGAAGUGAUUGAGGAAGCCAGCGCUGGGCUUGCUGAGUCAGCAAUGUAGGAGUUCUCCACCAGCCCACUUCACUGAGAGCCUUCAAUUGGU
rnacentral:lncRNA from 1 species